rnacentral:lncRNA from 10 species
AUGGGCCAUCUUAUGAUCAUUUAAAAAAAAAAAGACCGGGCCCAGUGGCUCACACCUGUAAUCCCAGCACUUCGGGAGGCCGAGGCGUGAGCCGCCACGCCCAGCAAGAGCCAGGUUUUGUUGUUGUUUUUUGUUUGUUUUUCCUGCUCUGAGAUAGGCAGCAUGGUGGAAAGAGCAUUGACUUCGGAGAUGAAAGACCUGGAUUUUAGACUC